rnacentral:rRNA from 1 species
UGCGAAUGGCUCAUUAAAUCAGUUAUCGUUUAUUUGAUAGUACCUUACUACUUGGAUAACCGUGGUAAUUCUAGAGCUAAUACAUGCUAAAAAUCCCGACCUCUGGAAGGGAUGUAUUUAUUAGAUAAAAAACCAAUGCCUUCGGGCUUCUUGGUGAUUCAUGAUAACUUUACGAAUCGCAUGGCCUUGUGCUGGCGAUGGUUCAUUCAAAUUUCUGCCCUAUCAACUUUCGAUGGUAGGAUAGUGGCCUACCAUGGUUUCAACGGGUAACGGGGAAUUAGGGUUCGAUUCCGGAGAGGGAGCCUGAGAAACGGCUACCACAUCCAAGGAAGGCAGCAGGCGCGCAAAUUACCCAAUCCCGACACGGGGAGGUAGUGACAAUAAAUACUGAUACAGGGCCCUUUUGGGUCUUGUAAUUGGAAUGAGUACAAUUUAAACCCUUUAACGAGGAACAAUUGGAGGGCAAGUCUGGUGCCAGCAGCCGCGGUAAUUCCAGCUCCAAUAGCGUAUAUUAAAGUUGUUGCAGUUAAAAAGCUCGUAGUUGAACUUUGGGUCUGGGUGACUGGUCUGCGUCUACCGCAUGUACUGGAAACCCGGAUCUUUCCUUCUGGAGAACCGCAUGCACUUUACUGGGUGUGCCGGGGAACCAGGACUUUUACUUUGAAAAAAUUAGAGUGUUCAAAGCAGGCAUUUGCUCGAAUACAUUAGCAUGGAAUAAUAAAAUAGGACGUGCGGUUCUAUUUUGUUGGUUUCUAGGACCGCCGUAAUGAUUAAUAGGGAUAGUCGGGGGCAUCCGUAUUCGAUUGUCAGAGGUGAAAUUCUUGGAUUUUUCGAAGACGAACUACUGCGAAAGCAUUUGCCAAGGAUGUUUUCAUUAAUCAGGAACGAAAGUUGAGGGAUCGAAGACGAUCAGAUACCGUCGUAGUCUCAACCAUAAACUAUGCCGACUAGGGAUUGGGCGACUGUGUUUUUUGAGUUGCUCAGCACCUUACGAGAAAUUAAAGUUUUUGGGUUCUGGGGGGAGUAUGGUCGCAAGGCUGAAACUUAAAGGAAUUGACGGAAGGGCACCACCAGGAGUGGAGCCUGCGGCUUAAUUUGACUCAACACGGGGAAACUCACCAGGUCCAGACACAUUAAGGAUUGACAGAUUGAGAGCUCUUUCUUGAUCAUGUGGGUGGUGGUGCAUGGCCGUUCUUAGUUGGUGGAGUGAUUUGUCUGCUUAAUUGCGAUAACGAACGAGACCUUAACCUGCUAAAUAGCUGGGCUCGCUUUCGCGGGUUCUUGG